rnacentral:rRNA from 1 species
GCAAGUCGAACGGGAUUAAAUCCUUCGGGAUUUAUGAGAGUGGCGAACGGGUGAGUAACACGUAGGUACUCUACCUUGGGAUUGGGGAUAGCACAUGGAAACAUGUGAUAAUACCGAACAAUCUAUAACUGGACUGAGAUGUCCGAUUGAGUAAAGGCGCUAAGGCGCUGUCCUGAAGAUGAGCCUGCGGUUCAUAGCUAGUUGGUGGGGUAAAGGCCUACCAAGGCGACGAUGAAUAGCCGGCCUGAGAGGGUGACC